AUUUCCCUCUUUCUUUCUGCCUAACACAUGCAAGUCGAACGGCAGCACAGUAAGAGCUUGCUCUUACGGGUGGCGAGUGGCGGACGGGUGAGGAAUACAUCGGAAUCUACUUUUUCGUGGGGGAUAACGUAGGGAAACUUACGCUAAUACCGCAUACGACCUACGGGUGAAAGCAGGGGAUCUUCGGACCUUGCGCGAUUGAAUGAGCCGAUGUCGGAUUAGCUAGUUGGCGGGGUAAAGGCCCACCAAGGCGACGAUCCGUAGCUGGUCUGAGAGGAUGAUCAGCCACACUGGAACUGAGACACGGUCCAGACUCCUACGGGAGGCAGCAGUGGGGAAUAUUGGACAAUGGGCGCAAGCCUGAUCCAGCCAUACCGCGUGGGUGAAGAAGGCCUUCGGGUUGUAAAGCCCUUUUGUUGGGAAGGAAAAGCAGCAGGUUAAUACCCCGCUGUUCUGACGGUACCCAAAGAAUAAGCACCGGCUAACUUCGUG
rnacentral:rRNA from 1 species